rnacentral:rRNA from 1 species
AAAUUGAAGAGUUUGAUCAUGGCUCAGAUUGAACGCUGGCGGCAGGCCUAACACAUGCAAGUCGAACGGUAACAGGAAGCAGCUUGCUGCUUUGCUGACGAGUGGCGGACGGGUGAGUAAUGUCUGGGAAACUGCCUGAUGGAGGGGGAUAACUACUGGAAACGGUAGCUAAUACCGCAUAACGUCGCAAGACCAAAGAGGGGGACCUUAGGGCCUCUUGCCAUCGGAUGUGCCCAGAUGGGAUUAGCUAGUAGGUGGGGUAAAGGCUCACCUAGGCGACGAUCCCUAGCUGGUCUGAGAGGAUGACCAGCCACACUGGAACUGAGACACGGUCCAGACUCCUACGGGAGGCAGCAGUGGGGAAUAUUGCACAAUGGGCGCAAGCCUGAUGCAGCCAUGCCGCGUGUAUGAAGAAGGCCUUCGGGUUGUAAAGUACUUUCAGCGGGGAGGAAGGGAGUAAAGUUAAUACCUUUGCUCAUUGACGUUACCCGCAGAAGAAGCACCGGCUAACUCCGUGCCAGCAGCCGCGGUAAUACGGAGGGUGCAAGCGUUAAUCGGAAUUACUGGGCGUAAAGCGCACGCAGGCGGUUUGUUAAGUCAGAUGUGAAAUCCCCGGGCUCAACCUGGGAACUGCAUCUGAUACUGGCAAGCUUGAGUCUCGUAGAGGGGGGUAGAAUUCCAGGUGUAGCGGUGAAAUGCGUAGAGAUCUGGAGGAAUACCGGUGGCGAAGGCGGCCCCCUGGACGAAGACUGACGCUCAGGUGCGAAAGCGUGGGGAGCAAACAGGAUUAGAUACCCUGGUAGUCCACGCCGUAAACGAUGUCGACUUGGAGGUUGUGCCCUUGAGGCGUGGCUUCCGGAGCUAACGCGUUAAGUCGACCGCCUGGGGAGUACGGCCGCAAGGUUAAAACUCAAAUGAAUUGACGGGGGCCCGCACAAGCGGUGGAGCAUGUGGUUUAAUUCGAUGCAACGCGAAGAACCUUACCUGGUCUUGACAUCCACGGAAGUUUUCAGAGAUGAGAAUGUGCCUUCGGGAACCGUGAGACAGGUGCUGCAUGGCUGUCGUCAGCUCGUGUUGUGAAAUGUUGGGUUAAGUCCCGCAACGAGCGCAACCCUUAUCCUUUGUUGCCAGCGGUCCGGCCGGGAACUCAAAGGAGACUGCCAGUGAUAAACUGGAGGAAGGUGGGGAUGACGUCAAGUCAUCAUGGCCCUUACGACCAGGGCUACACACGUGCUACAAUGGCGCAUACAAAGAGAAGCGACCUCGCGAGAGCAAGCGGACCUCAUAAAGUGCGUCGUAGUCCGGAUUGGAGUCUGCAACUCGACUCCAUGAAGUCGGAAUCGCUAGUAAUCGUGGAUCAGAAUGCCACGGUGAAUACGUUCCCGGGCCUUGUACACACCGCCCGUCACACCAUGGGAGUGGGUUGCAAAAGAAGUAGGUAGCUUAACCUUCGGGAGGGCGCUUACCACUUUGUGAUUCAUGACUGGGGUGAAGUCGUAACAAGGUAACCGUAGGGGAACCUGCGGUUGGAUCACCUCCUUA